UUAAGAGGCUUGGCUCUCGAUUUAAGCAAAAAUCCGAUUGAAUCGAGAGUAUUUUUUCUUGUCAAUGUUUUCAAGAGUCUGGACUCUAGAUCCAAUGUGUUUUUUUUCCAGUGUUCUUUGAUGUGAUUUAUUUGGUAUUGCAAGGUGUUUAAUCUGAUUUUUGUCGCGGUGUUUCAGAUGCAGCUUACCAAGGCUGCCCUUGUCCAAUCCAGCCGUGUCCAAAAAACGUCCAUACUGGGCCUCUUACUGGUGUUAGUAAGGGGUCUAUGAACAACUCUUCAAACACCCUACCUCCACUGGGACUGGCCCUGCCGAAGGAGCCGCCGUGCGCGGGAGCCUCGGGCCCGCCGAGCCCGGCCCGGGGCAGCGCCGGCAUGGCCCCGCCGCCCACCUCCGUGGCCACCGCCAGGAACCCCCUGAACCAGCUCAACCAGCAGCCCUGGAGUGGCGCCCCCACCCCCGCCGCCACCACCACCACCACCACCUCCACCGAGACCCAGAAGACCGAGGCCCCGAGACCGGGCUCCUCACCAUCAGCAGGGUCCUCUCCGACUGCAUCUCCAACAACUUCGCCGAGCCUAGAACCGAUCUCAAGCAAGAGGAAGAGAUCUACCCCAGCACCCUCAAAGAGGUGCCGGCUGUGAACCUCCAAGUUAGCCAGGAGGAAAAACCUAGUAAUUCAAGUAGCAACCGCAAGCGGAAGAAAAGCCCUGAGAAAGACAACGGUAAGGUGAAAAACUGAACAACCAAGUAGAGGUUAAAACUGAGGAGGUCCUCAAGCAUCGCAUUGAAAACCUCACCAAUGGCCCGGUAAUUAACAAUGAUCUCAGCAAAGGCCCGAAGUUAAACAACCAGUGUCUGAGCAGCACAUUGAGCAACAAACUGCUAAAAAUUACUAAAAGUCUUAAGAGUAAGCUGGAGUCGACAAAAACGGACUCCAGUGAAACGUCUUCGACGAAAGAGUCAAAGAAAAAGCGAGAACACAUCAAGUCUCGACGGAAAUCCUACAAUCUGCUAACCGCGAGUGGAAACCUUGACCUGGCAGUUGACUCUAAGAAGAGAAGAAAAUCUAUCAAUUCUCUGUCAACAGACCUCAGUUUACAGAAUGUUGACUUCAUAAUCAAGAACUCCGAGCUAAUAUCAUCGACCAUCGACUGUCAUCAGGUGGCGCAAGACCUUGGUAUUGUUGGAGUUGACACCUGUAUGCUCGAGGCUAACAACAAUGACAAGAAUCAAAACUUAAACAAAAUUUCAGCGCUAUCUUUACUAACAUUCAAUUCAAAUUGCAAAAAGAAGAACGGUGCCAAGACGGCAAAAAGCGAGCUUGGUAUCGUUGCCGCCACUGCAGCCGCUGCCCCCUUGGAAAUCCUCCCCCCUCAUACCAAAGAUAAACUUCAAGGGAAAAACUACAAAAGAAAACUUAACUAAUUCUAAAG
rnacentral:lncRNA from 1 species